UUUAGCACCAUAACAGCCCGGCAGCAGACAGUCUGCUGUGCUGUGCCUGGGGGUUGGUGCAGGCAGCUUGGUAGUGAAAGUCAAAAGCAAAGGGCCCGUGAAAUUAUAUAGCCUGUCCUGCCAGAGACUUCAACCAAAACACAGACAAAGAGAAAUACCCAGGCUGUUCCCCCUUCUCACCCUUCAUUCUCCCACUGCUUCCCAUUGGACUAACUUAAAAGUAAAAGUAAACUCUAGUGAAAAAAAGAAAUGCAGUUUACAGGUUCUGCUCCUAAGAACCAAAGCAGAGCAGGGGGGUCUGAGUGCUGAAAACUCAGCCCGCACACUCAAGCCAUUUUACACCUGUCUGAUUGAAUAAAUUAGAAACCAUGAAAUGUGAUCAGUCGCAUUAUUUGGAUUUUACUGAAUAAAGGUCUUUAAAAAUGUUUACCUUUUAA
rnacentral:lncRNA from 13 species